CUGUAGCCCGCCAGCCUCCUCUGUCUGUGGGGACUCUCCAGGCAAGAAUACUGGAGUGGGUUGCCAUUUUGCCCCCCAGGUGGUCUUCCUGACCCAGGGAUCAAAACCACUUCUCUUAUGUCUCCUGAAUUGGCAGGUACGUUCUUUACCACUAGCGCCACCUGGGAAGUCCAAAUUGGUGGUUGCCAAAAGUGGGGGGUGAGAAGUGAGAUAAAUGGGUGAAAUUUUUUUUUCAGUUUAAAUAGAAUAAAAUUUUAUUAUUAUUAUUAUUUUUUAACUUUACAAUAUUGUAUUGGUUUUGCCACACAUCAACAUGAAUCCACCAUGGGUGUACACAUGUUCCCAAUCCCGAAUCCCCUCCCACCUCCCCCCACACACCAUCCCUCCGGGUCAUCCUAGUGCACCAGCCCCAAGCAUCCUGCACCCUGCAUGGAACCUAGACUGGUGAUUCAUUUCUUAUAUGAUAUUAUACAUGUUUCAAUGCCAUAAAUACAAUAAAAUUUUAAAUAAUAAUAAAGAAUUCCUAGUGUCAACAAAUUAACAGGGUGAGAGUUGAGGUGGAUGUUCUGAAAUGACACAGUAUAACUAAUCCAGCUGUUUGGUGAUUCCAGAAACUAACCACAUGGUCUACAUCAGAGAUGAUCAGGAGUCCUGCUGCUCAGGCUGAAGGUGACUGCCAUCCAGGAACUCAGAGUUAGCCUUGGUUCAGGGAAACCUGAAUGAAUGGUUCAGGGAAAAAUAAGUGCUGGACUUCCAAAGAUCUACCAGAUCACUUCAAGGGAUCCACCCUCUUUGCCAGUGUCUCAACUUUCAAAGGCCUCUCUCCAACAGUAGACGAAAUACCCAGUAACUCACCCAGGGGCAGAGGUAAGUAGAGGAAGUCAUGAUUGUUAUUUACUUAUUUUUGAAAGGCUAUAAAAGGCUUCUAGAAAAGGGUAUGCAGUGUGAAGAC
ensembl:lincRNA